UACGGAGGAUGCAAGCGUUAUCCGGAAUGAUUGGGCGUAAAGGGUCCGCAGGUGGCCAUGUGUGUCUGCUGUCAAAGAAUGAGGCUUAACCUCAUCAAGGCAGUGGAAACUACAUAGCUAGAGUACGGUCGGGGUAGAAGGAAUUCCUGGUGUAGCGGUGAAAUGCGUAGAUAUCUGGAGGAACACCGGUGGCGAAGGCGGCAUCCUGGACCGGCAUUGACGCUGAGGAGCGAAAGCCAGGGGAGCAAACGGG
rnacentral:rRNA from 1 species